GACGAACGCUGGCGGCGUGCUUAACACAUGCAAGUCGAACGAUGAAGCCGGAGCUUGCUCUGGUGAAUUAGUGGCGAACGGGUGAGUAACACGUGAGUAACCUGCCCUUGACUCUGGGAUAACUGCUAGAAAUGGUAGCUAAUACCGGAUACGACCCUCGGAGGCAUCUCCAGGGGGUGGAAAGAAUUUCGGUCAAGGAUGGACUCGCGGCCUAUCAGCUAGUUGGUGAGGUAACGGCUCACCCAGGCGACGACGGAUAGCCGGCCUGAGAGGGUGACCGGCCAGACUGGGACUGAGACACGGCCCAGCCUCCUACGGGAGGCAGCAGUGGGGAAUAUUGCACAAUGGGCGCAAGCCUGAUGCCGCAACGCCGCGUGAGGGAUGACGGCCUUCGGGUUGUAAACCUCUUUUAGUAGGGAAGAAGCGAAAGUGACGGUACCUGCAGAAAAAGCACCGGCUAACUACGUGCCAGCAGCCGCCGCAG
rnacentral:rRNA from 1 species